rnacentral:tRNA from 1 species
GCCGACAUGGCGCAAUGGUAGCGCACUGCACUUGUAAUGCAAAGGUUAUCGGUUCAAGUCCGAUUGUCGGCU